rnacentral:rRNA from 1 species
AUUGAACGCUGGCGGCAGGCCUAACACAUGCAAGUCGAACGAGUGGCGGACGGGUGAGUAAUGCUUGGGAAUCUAGCUUAUGGAGGGGAUACCUACGGGAAACUGUAGCUAAUACCGCGUACCAUAGGAUGAGCCCAAGUGGGAUUAGCUUGUAGGUGAGGUAAAAGCUCACCUAGGCGACGGUCUCUAGCUGGGCUGAGAGGAUGAUCAGCCACACUGGGACUGAGACACGGCCCAGACUCCUACGGGAUGCAGCAGUGGGGAAUAUUGCACAAUGGGCGCAAGCCUGAUGCAGCCAUGCCGCGUGUAUGAAGAAGGCCUUAGGGUUGUAAAGUACUUUCAGCGGGGAGGCGUUACCCGCAGAAGAAGCACCGGCUAACGCCGUGCCAGCAGCCGCGGUAAUUC